UUAUUGCCCUGUCAUCACGCCGACUCUGCCAGUGGUACACGGUUCGGCUCUGCAUCAGCAGUUCGCAUCCACGACGAACGCUGAUACGGUAAGCCCCCGGGAGAAAAUGCACCGUCUGGCGCUUCUGAGUCGGCCUC
rnacentral:sRNA from 1 species